AGUGGCGGACGGGUGAGUAACACGUAAGAAUUUGCCUUUAGGAGGGGGAUAACAACUGGAAACGGUUGCUAAUACCCCAUAUGCUUUUGAGUGAAAUGGUUUUUCCGCCUAAAGAGAAGCUUGCGGCUGAUUAGCUUGUUGGUGAGGUAAUAGCUCACCAAGGCGACGAUCAGUAUCUGGUUUGAGAGGACGAUCAGACACACUGGAACUGAGACACGGUCCAGACUCCUACGGGAGGCAGCAGUAGGGAAUUUUCCGCAAUGGGCGAAAGCCUGACGGAGCAAUACCGCGUGAGGGAUGACGGCCUAUGGGUUGUAAACCUCUUUUUUCAGGGAGGAAUAAAUGACGUGUACCUGAAGAAUAAGCAUCGGCUAACUCCGUGCCAGCAGCCGCGGUAAGACGGAGGAUGCAAGUGUUAUCCGGAAUCACUGGGCGUAAAGCGUCUGUAGGUGGUCCAAUAAGUCAACUGUUAAAUCUUGAGGCUCAACCUCAAAACCGCAGUCGAAACUAUUAGACUAGAGUAUAGUAGGGGUAAAGGGAAUUUCCAGUGGAGCGGUGAAAUGCGUAGAUAUUGGAAGGAACACCGAUGGCGAAGGCACUUUACUGGGCUAUUACUAACACUCAGAGACGAAAGCUAGGGUAGCAAAUGGGAUUAGAUACCCCAGUAGUCCUAGCUGUAAACAAUGGAUACUAGA
rnacentral:rRNA from 1 species